rnacentral:tRNA from 1 species
UUAUUGAUAGGCUAUAUUAGGCUUGCGGGUUGUGGUCCCGUAGAAUACAUUAUU